rnacentral:rRNA from 1 species
UACGUAGGGUGCAAGCGUUAAUCGGAAUUACUGGGCGUAAAGCGUGCGCAGGCGGUUAUACAAGACAGAUGUGAAAUCCCCGGGCUCAACCUGGGAAUUGCAUUUGUGACUGCACGGCUAGAGUGUGUCAGAGGGGGGUAGAAUUCCACGUGUAGCAGUGAAAUGCGUACGAUAUGUGGAGGAAUACCGAUGGCGAAGGCAGCCCCCUGGGAUAACACGUGACGCUCAUGCACGAAAGCGUGGGGAGCAAACAGG